GUAGGGGGCAAGCGUUGUCCGGAUUUAUUGGGCGUAAAGAGCGUGUAGGCGGCCAUACAGGUCAGCUGUGAAAACUCGAGGCUCAACCUCGAGACGUCGGUUGAAACCGUAUGGCUAGAGUCCGGAAGAGGAGAGUGGAAUUCCCGGUGUAGCGGUGAAAUGCGCAGAUAUCGGGAAGAACACCCGUGGCGAAGGCGGCUCUCUGGGACGGUACUGACGCUGAGACGCGAAAGCGUGGGGAGCGAACAGG
rnacentral:rRNA from 1 species